rnacentral:rRNA from 1 species
AGAGUUUGAUCCUGGCUCAGAAUCAACGCUGGCGGCGUGCCUAACACAUGCAAGUCGAACGAGAAAGGGACUUCGGUCCUGAGUACAGUGGCGCACGGGUGAGUAACACGUGACUAACCUACCCUGGAGUGGGGAAUAACUGAGGGAAACCUUAGCUAAUACCGCAUAAUACCUACGGGUCAAAGGAGCAAUUCGCUUCAGGAGGGGGUCGCGGCCGAUUAGCUAGUUGGCGGGGUAAUGGCCCACCAAGGCAAUGAUCGGUAUCCGGCCUGAGAGGGCGCACGGACACACUGGAACUGAAACACGGUCCAGACUCCUACGGGAGGCAGCAGUGGGGAAUUUUGCGCAAUGGGGGAAACCCUGACGCAGCAACGCCGCGUGGAGGAUGAAAUCCCUUGGGAUGUAAACUCCUUUCGAUCGGGACGAUUAUGACGGUACCGGAAGAAGAAGCCCCGGCUAACUUCGUGCCAGCAGCCGCGGUAAUACGAGGGGGGCAAGCGUUGUUCGGAAUUAUUGGGCGUAAAGGGAGUGUAGGCGGUUUUGUAAGUCGUGUGUGAAAUCUUCGGGCUCAACCCGAAGUCUGCACACGAAACUGCAGGGCUUGAGUAUGGGAGAGGUGAGUGGAAUUCCUGGUGUAGCGGUGAAAUGCGUAGAUAUCAGGAGGAACACCUGUGGCGAAAGCGGCUCACUGGACCAUUACUGACGCUGAGACUCGAAAGCUAGGGGAGCAAACAGGAUUAGAUACCCUAGUAGUCC